GACGAACGCUGGCGGCGUGCUUAACACAUGCAAGUCGAACGGAAAGGCCCUGCUUUUGUGGGGUGCUCGAGUGGCGAACGGGUGAGUAACACGUGAGUAACGUGCCCUUGACUUUGGGAUAACUUAAGGAAACUGGGGCUAAUACCGUAUAGGAGCUCCUGUUGCAUGGUGGGGGUUGGAAAGUUUCGGCGGUUGGGGAUGGACUCGCGGGUUAUCAGCUUGUUGGUGGGGUAGUGGCUUACCAAGGCUUUGACUGGUAGCCGGCCUGUGAGGGUGACCGGCGACAUGGGGACUGAGAUACGGCCCAGACGCGUACGUGAGGCAGCAGUGGGGAAUAUUGCACAAUGGGCGGAAGCGUGAGGCAGCAACGCCGCGUGCGUGAUGACGGCCUUCUGGUUAUAAACCGCUUUCGCCUGUGACGAAGCGUGAGUGACGGUAAUGGGUAAAGAAGCACCGGCUAACUACGUG
rnacentral:rRNA from 1 species